UUUUUUGUCUUGAUUUAGAACAUUUACUUAUUUUUCCCAUAAAACACUCAAAGCUCUGCUUGGGAAAUAAUUUUAAUCAGAGAACUGUAUGUUUUCUUCCCACAGAUCCUGCUUUGUAUCAGGAAAUGACAUUGUGAUUCAUUUCACUACAAGUAGAAUAUUACAAAAUAUUUAUAGGAAAAUAUCAAAAAAUAACUCAAAAACAAAAGGCAAGGUAAAAUAAACUCGUUUUUCAGAAAUCUCUCGCUCCAGUGCCCACAGCACACAAAAAGAGAGUCAAAACAAAUAAGUAACUGAGAUCCUCGAUCACAAAUCUCCAAAGAACUGGAAAAGGGGAAGAAACAGGAUGAAAAUGG
rnacentral:lncRNA from 1 species